rnacentral:rRNA from 1 species
CAGUCGCCACGGUAAUACGGAGGGUGCAAGCGUUAUCCGGAUUCACUGGGUUUAAAGGGUGCGUAGGCGGAUCUGUAAGUCCGUGGUGAAAUCUCCAGGCUUAACCUGGAAACUGCCAUGGAUACUAUAGAUCUUGAAUGUUGUGGAGGUUAGCGGAAUAUGUCAUGUAGCGGUGAAAUGCAUAGAUAUGACAUAGAACACCAAUUGCGAAGGCAGCUGGCUACACAAAUAUUGACGCUGAGGCACGAAAGCGUGGGGAUCAAACAGGAUUAGAUACCCCUGUAGUCCCUGUCUCUUAUAC